UUUUAAACUAAAUGUAGGAACAAUAAUGUUAUUAAUUUCUUUUACUACAUAUUCUAAUAAAUCGCUUUAAAGAAUCUACGAAAUGUAUUCGUCAUCUGAAAACUUCUAUCGUGUCUAUCAACGUGUCCGCAACUACGAAAAUUGGAAAAAUCCAUAACUGCAGAAAACAAGUACAAAGCGAAUUCAUGAGAUUCGCGAUGUUCAAGUGGCAUCGAAAGCGAGUUUGAUGAGCAUAUUAUUCUGAUUAUCCUGACAUUAAUGCGAUAUUAAUCGACAAUAGAGAGUCAAGCAAUUUACUCUUGAAUAAUAUUAAGAAGUACUCUAUAUACAGUAGCGGUCAAAAAAUAGAGCCAGUCAAUAAGGAAUCCAUUGUUUUUCAAAACAGCUUCUGCUCAAUUGAAUCCACUAAACAUCUACAUUCUUCAGAGGUUGAGUACCAAGCCUUUUUUAUUUCAAAAUUUAAUCGCAAUGAUAGUUACUCUCGCAACACGAAGCGCAACGAGAAAAUGUAUCAGCAACUGACGCGGAAAACUGUCAAUAAAAACGGAAAACUUCUCUCGAGGAAACGUUAACGAUGGAUUUCCUGGAAAGAUCAAUAACGAGCCUCCUUGGUCCUUAAUAACGCAACUAAUCAAUAUGUUCUAAUUUUAUAUGCAUGUAGGAAAAGAAGAUUAUAAAAUUCUAAUUUGUUUUUCUAGAAAUAAAUUUUCUAGAAGUUUUUAAAUAAAUAUUCAUAACAAUUACUUAGAUAAUAGAAAUUCAUUACCAAUAGCUUGAUACUCAUACAUACACAUUAUAAUAGAAGAUUUUCAAUAUCACAAUUCAAUUAUUAAUAUUAUAUUAGUUUAUCAAAUAAUUGUUAGAAAUAUCCUGGUUCUGCAACACAUUGCUCUAUUAAUUGUUGUAGUUAACAAUUACAUAUAUAAUAAAAUUUUAUAUCAUUAUUAUUUAAGUAAAAUAUAUAUUACUAAUUUUUAGUGAAAUGAUUUAAUUAUUAAUUUUAUAUAAAAUAAUAACUUUAAAUUUUUUCACACAGAUAUAUUACAGAAAAUUGAGUAAACAAAACUUUCCAACUUUUCUUUAUAAAUGGAUAUCGUUGUAUGAGAUCAAUCAUAGCGAGAAAAUAUCGACCAACUUUUUCAAAGUGACAGAAUGGGAUUCUUACCUUUGAAGUAUUUGAUAGCAAAUUAAUUUUCUCAAUAAUAAAGUCAGAAACAAUGCAAUUUUUCAUUUUUUAAAAUUUAUUUUAAUUAAACACAACAAAAACCAAGUACAAUUCUAGUUCAUAUUGCAUAUUCAUAGAUUUUUUAUUUUGUAGCUAGUUUUUUAAAAACCGGAAAAAAUAUUUGUAUCAAGAAUCAAAUUAUAGAUCAAAUUAUAUCAGAACAGAUCUUAUUUUAUUAAUUGAUUGUAAAAUUAGAUUUGCUCUGAUAUAAUUUGUUCUAUUUUGAUAUAAAGAUUUUUUCUCUGGAAUAUAUAAUUAUAUUCUUAUUUUUGUGAAACUUUAUUUUCUAUUAAAAUUUUAUCCAUUUAUAGUUUUUUCUAAAUAACUUGAAAUGUUUAAUCAUUCGGAACAAAACAUUAAUUUAAUUUUUAUCAGGAAAGAUUCUAGUUCAAGUUUAUUUAUUAUAAUAGUUAAA
rnacentral:lncRNA from 1 species